UCGGUGCUGUCGGGCCUCUCGACUAUGGUCCGAUCUGGCCUCCUCUGCUGCAUCCUCUCUGCUGUUGUCCAUUCUGGCCUCCUCUGGACAAGACAUCAUCAGUGAAGGUUCCACGCCUGGGAGGGAUACCAUCACCGAGCACACACCAAAGGCGAAGCAAAACGGGAGUCCGAACUAGCACGAGCUACUCUGGGUAACAGGAAGAGCACUACACCCAGUACGUGUUCUCCACCAACCACUCCGGGCCCAUCGAGGACGGACACCUCCACCCUACAAGCACGGGUCAGCUCAAGACCUGGGAAAUGUGGCGCCUAUUCUAACCCUGUUUAUAAUAAAGCAUUGUUAAAAUUUCUACAAGUCUCUCCGGAUUGAAUUAGCAUUGCAGCCUUAUGGAAGACGUUUGCAUUUAUCCACGAUAUACAAAUAAACCACAGGCAACAAGACAACCUAGUGAGGUUGAGGGAGACAUCGCUGCAAUAGUUCAAAUUACUACAUAAAAUCAAUAAACGUCGAUGGUACAUAUUAUUUCAAUUGACGCACUAAAAGAAAAGAUGUUAAGUUAUUUAAUCCAGAUUCCAUCAUCAGAAUACAUUCAUAAAGAUCAUCCAAAGAGCAUCAAACAUCUCCCAUGUAACAUCUUACAUCUUCUAGGUGAUAGAACAAAGGCUUUUGCUUUGGUUGGCUAACUACAUCAUCUCCUCAAUACAUUUGUCUUGUCCACUCAUGUCAUCCUUAAUUGUGUUUAGAAAUGUGUGUUCCCUGAGCAGUGCGCUUCCUUGGCAGCGUGUCCUCACUUCACUCUGCGCGUGUUACUGUCUCCCUCCAGCAAGCAACGCAGCAUCACCACGGGAGAAGGUGGAUGACAAGCAGGCUAACCAACAGCUCGAGAAGCUAAUUAAAGAGUGGUGUUACACACAUUUAGAAAAAGGACAAAUGCUUUGUGUUUAUGAGUAAGCGUCACUCAACUUAAAUCAUUAAACAUUCAUUUUACAUUGUUCAUUCUGUGCACAUGACAUCUGUUGUACUUCUCUAUUCCUCCUGUCUCUCUUCCAAAGGUUUCUUCUUUUUGUUCUCCCUGUUAAAGGUUUCUUUUUGUUCUGGGAUGCUUUUCCUGUGCCGAUGUGCGUACGGAUUUUAAAGCCCUCUGAGGCAAAUUUGGCAUUUGUUGCUGUUCAGAAUAGAUUGAAUUGGGUUGACAUCAAACAUUGAAAUGUGUUAAUUUGCCAAAAUAUAGUACAUAUGUCAUGUCUUGUAAAGAACUCUUCUCUGUGGCUAACAUUGAAUGAGAUAUUUUUUAUUUUUUAUAUUUUCGACCCACUGAAAACACACUUUCUCUCUUCAAGAUAGCCCUGCCCAAAAGCUUUACUCUCUGAAUCGGGGCAGUCUUUUACUAAAUUAACAUUAAUGAGCGACGACCCCUGGCUCCUCAUCAAACUACUGCACAGGUUGAAGUUGUUUUGCACCUGCAGCAUCGUCACUUCUGGCAAAAACAAAAAAGCUAAAUAAAGUUCCCGUCAAUGUUCAGAUGCAACGUGUAGAACUGAAAAAAAGUUGUUACCGUCAAGAAAGUUGUAUUAAACUCUUUUAUUUCCGUA